rnacentral:lncRNA from 1 species
UGGCGCUGUCGCCGGCUGCAGUGGCCGCCGCUGGAGACCGCGGGACCUGGCGCUGCAGCGAGAUUUUCAAACACCGCAUUCCCCUUAAACCUCCCAGGCUCCCAUCACUCCCAGCAAAGAGCCAGCCCGCUACUUUAUGGAGACAGGAGAGACUGUCAGACAGUUCCUGCUGCUGCCCAGGUGCAUCUGAUGAAUCAGUGCUGCUAUGAACAUUACUCUGGGUGUAUGCUUGGACAUAGAAUCUCUGGAGUACAGUCUCAACUGUUAAUUCAAAAUA